AACAACAACAACAAUGAACAACAACAACAAACACAUCUAGAGCAAAACAAACAACUAGAGGCAGAGGAAGAAGAAGAACAUGAAGAAGCAGCACAACUAACACAAGCACACAAAAAAUAAAACAAACAACAGCAACAACAAUCUGACAGCAAAACAGCGCAAACCGACGAGGAAAAGCAACGCGAUCGUCAGCGCAACGAACGUGAGGCCAAAAAGGAAGAGCAGGACGCUAUCAAUUACAAGGCCCGAUGCCCGAGUAACUCUGCACAAGUGUAUCGCUCGUAAUUAGGCAAAUCAAUUAAAAUGGCCGCAGAGCUGAGUAACUUAUAGUUAAAAUGCACUUUGCAACAAUUGCAUGUAAACAGCGCGACAAGGAGCAACGAGAGGCGCGUUUGCUGGACUUUGAGAUACGGCGCCAGCAAAAGCGCGAGGAGCAGAACCAGCAGCGGCAACA
rnacentral:sRNA from 1 species